UACGAAGGGGGCUAGCGUUGCUCGGACUCACUGGGCGUAAAGGGUGCGUAGGCGGGGCUUUAAGUCAGGGGUGAAAUCCUGGAGCUCAACUCCAGAACUGCCUUUGAUACUGAAGAUCUUGAGUUCGGGAGAGGUGAGUGGAACUGCGAGUGUAGAGGUGAAAUUCGUAGAUAUUCGCAAGAACACCAGUGGCGAAGGCGGCUCACUGGCCCGAUACUGACGCUGAGGCACGAAAGCGUGGGGAGCAAACAGG
rnacentral:rRNA from 1 species